rnacentral:rRNA from 1 species
GACAGAGGGUGCAACCGUUGCUCGGAAUCACUGGGCGUAAAGGGCGUGUAGGCGGGAAGGAUAGUCAGAUGUGAAAGCCCUGGGCUCAACCCAGGAACUGCAUUUGAAACUCCCUUUCUUGAGUGUCGGAGAGGAAAGCGGAAUUCCUGGUGUAGAGGUGAAAUUCGUAGAUAUCAGGAGGAACACCGGUGGCGAAGGCGGCUUUCUGGACGACAACUGACGCUGAGACGCGAAAGCGUGGGGAGCAAACAGG